rnacentral:rRNA from 1 species
UUUGAAAUCUGGCCCCCCGGGCCCGAGUUGUACUUUGCAGAGGAUGCUUUGGGCGCGGCGCCUUCCGAGUUCCCUGGAACGGGACGCCGCAGAGGGUGAGAGCCCCGUCUGGUCGGACGCCAAGCCCGUGUAAAGCUCCUUCGACGAGUCGAGUAGUUUGGGAAUGCUGCUCAAAAUGGGAGGUAUAUGUCUUCUAAAGCUAAAUACCGGCCAGAGACCGAUAGCGCACAAGUAGAGUGAUCGAAAGAUGAAAAGCACUUUGAAAAGAGGGUUAAACAGUACGUGAAAUUGUUGAAAGGGAAGCGCCUGUGACCAGACUUGGCCGCGGCGAAUCACCCGGCGUUCUCGCCGGGGCACUUCGCCCCAGAAAACAGUUUUUGCUCCCGGGGGGCUUAUCACAAAGGGAAAACUGUGAGCGGUACCUCCGCCUUGGUAGAAGUUAUAGGCCUGGUUCUUUCAAUCCCCCUGGGGCCGAAUCUGAGCUACCCGCCUCCGCAAGGGAUGCUGGCGUAAGGGUCCUCCAGCGAUCCUGUCUUGAAAGCUCCGACCCAAGGAGUUGUAUUUUGUAUGCGAGUGUUGGGGUGUCACACCCCUACGCGGAAUGAAAGUGAACGCAGGUGAGAGCCUCCGGGCGCAUCAUCGACCGAUCUUGAUGUUCUCGGAUGGAUUUGAGUAGGAGCAUACGGGGCCGGACCCGAAAGAAGGUGAACUAUGCCUGUGUAGGGUGAAGCCAGAGGAAACUCUGGUGGAGGCUCGCAGCGGUUCUGACGUGCGAAUCGAUCGUCAAACAUGGGCAUGGGGGCGAAAGACUAAUCGAACCUUCUAGUAGCUGGUCUC